rnacentral:pre_miRNA from 1 species
GCAAACGGGAUGCUGCGAAAGUCCCGCUUCUAGUUCAUUUUUCAAAUCUUUUAUUCAAAAUUUUCUUCAGAAUUUGAAUAGGAGAUUUGAGAAUUGAACUAGAAGCGGGACUUUCGCGGGAUCCCGUUUGCACC